GCCGGGCGUGGUGGCGCAUGCCUGUAAUCCCAGCUACUCAGGAGGCUGAGGCAGAAGAAUCACUUGAGCCUGGGAGGCAGAGGCUGCAGUGAGCCGAGAUCAUGCCACUGCACUCCAGCCUGGGCUACAGAGCGAGAUUCUGUCUCAA
ensembl:misc_RNA Metazoa_SRP Metazoan signal recognition particle RNA